AGAGUUUGAUCCUGGCUCAGAACGAACGCUGGCGGCGUGCCUAACACAUGCAAGUCGUACGAGAAAAUCCGCUUCGGCGGGUGAGUAGAGUGGCGCACGGGUGAGUAACGCGUGGAUAAUCUGCCUUUAAGCUGGGAAUAACUCACCGAAAGGUGGGCUAAUACCCGAUAAUGCUAUGGGACUUCGGUUUUAUAGCCAAAGAGAGCCUCUACAUGUAAGCCUUCACUUAAAGAUGAGUCCGCGUACCAUUAGCUAGUUGGUAGGGUAAUGGCCUACCAAGGCGACGAUGGUUAGCUGGUCUGAGAGGAUGAUCAGCCACACUGGAACUGAGACACGGUCCAGACUCCUACGGGAGGCAGCAGUGAGGAAUAUUGCGCAAUGGGGGCAACCCUGACGCAGCAACGCCGCGUGAGUGAGGAAGGUCUUCGGAUCGUAAAGCUCUGUCGGGUGGGAAGAAGUGUGCAUAGGUUAAUAGCUUGUGCACUUGACGGUACCGCCAAAGGAAGCACCGGCUAACUCCGUGCCAGCAGCCGCGGUAAUACGGGGGGUGCGAGCGUUGUUCGGAAUCAUUGGGCGUAAAGAGCGUGUAGGCGGCUAGGCAAGUCAGAUGUGAAAUCCCUGGGCUUAACCCAGGAAGUGCAUUUGAAACUGCUUAGCUUGAGUAAGGAAGAGGGAAGUGGAAUUCCUGGUGUAGCGGUGGAAUGCGCAGAUAUCCGGAGGAACACCAGUGGCGAAAGCGGCCUCCUGGACCAUUCCUGACACUCAGACGCGAAAGCUAGGGUAGCAAACGGGAUUAGAGACCCCGGUAGUCCUAGCCCUAAACGAUGUAGACUAGGCGUCGGUGGUUUAAACGCCAUCGGUGUCCAAGCUAACGCGAUAAGUCUACCGCCUGGGGACUACGGCCGCAAGGUUAAAACUCAAAGGAAUUGACGGGUCCCCGCACAAGCAGCGGAGCGUGUGGUUUAAUUCGUUGCUACACGAAGAACCUUACCUGGGUUUGACAUAGCAGUGGUAGGGAAGCGAAAGCAGACCGACCCUUCGGGGAGCUGUUACAGGUGUUGCAUGGCUGUCGUCAGCUCGUGUCGUGAGAUGUUCGGUUAAGUCCGCUAACGAGCGCAACCCUCGCUGUGUGUUACAAGU
rnacentral:rRNA from 1 species